GAAAUGCGAGGGAUGCUAAGAAGGUGUCAAUCUAGUUGAGAUAUUUCGAUGUACCUACUGAUCUACUUCGGUCCCCUCGUAUCUUUCUCUGAAAGAAAAGUAGGUUGAGCAUAUUAUUGCAUAUCCAAGCUCAAGAUGACUGAGAAGAGGAUGGAGAAACAUGAAAUUGGAAUGAGCCAGCUCCUGCAGUGCUUGAAGAAUAAAUUUAAAAUAAAAAAAGAAAGAACCAUUUUGUUUUUUGCUUUUUUGUGUCCAUUUUAAAUGUAAUUGAAAUUUUUCAAUGGAAUAUAAUAAAAUAUUAUUGCUUUUCUGUUUCGUUUUA